rnacentral:rRNA from 1 species
AAAUUUGAGAGUUUGAUCCUGGCUCAGGAUGAACGCUGGCGGCGUGCCUAACACAUGCAAGUCGAGCGGGGGAGAGGCUUCGGCCUCGACCUAGCGGCGGACGGGUGAGUAACGCGUGGAUAAUCUGCCUUUCACUCGCGGAUACCCAUGAGAAAUCAUGGCUAAUACGUGAUACGAUCCAUUUUUCGCAUGGGAGAUGGAAGAAAG